GAUAAACGCUGGCGGCGUGCCUAAUACAUGCAAGUCGAGCGAACGGACGAUGGAUCUUCGGAACUGUUGGAAGUGAGCGGCGAACGGGUGAGUAACACGUAGGUAACCUGCCCUUGAGAUUGGGAUAACAGUUGGAAACGACUGCUAAUACCGAAUAGGAACAGCUGAGGCAUCUCAGCAGUUUAAAAGGAGCUUUCGGCUUCACUUAAGGAUGGACCUGCGGCGCAUUAGCUAGUUGGUGGGGUAAUGGCCCACCAAGGCAACGAUGCGUAGCCGACCUGAGAGGGUGAUCGGCCACACUGGGACUGAGACACGGCCCAGACUCCUACGGGAGGCAGCAGUAGGGAAUUUUCCACAAUGGACGAAAGUCUGAUGGAGCAACGCCGCGUGUGCGAAGAAGGCCUUCGGGUUGUAAAGCACUGUUGUAAGGGAAGAAUGGG
rnacentral:rRNA from 1 species